rnacentral:rRNA from 1 species
UACGGGGGAGCAAGCGUUGUUCGGAUUUACUGGGCGUAAAGGGCGCGUAGGCGGCCAGCACAAGUCAGUUGUGAAAUCUCCGAGCUUAACUCGGAAAGGUCAACUGAUACUGUGCGGCUAGAGUGCGGAAGGGGCAACUGGAAUUCAUUGGUGUGAGCGGUGAAAUGCGUAGAUAUCAAGAGGAACACCUGCGGCGAAGGCGGGUUGCUGGGCCGACACUGACGCUGAAUGCGCGAAAGCCAGGGGAGCGAACGGG